AGUAACACUCUAAUUGUAGAGCGUAUACUCCAGGAUGCAGAGGCUGAAAGUGCCUAAAAUUAUGGGAUUUGAAAUUGAGGAUGUACAGUCCAAGCACUUUCAAAGUAUUUAAAUGCAGUAUGCCAAGGGAGACUCGUCUUAAUUACUGAUUUCAUACAGAAUGUUUGAAUCAUUCUACUACAAAUAGCCUGAAGAAGCUUACUUGAGA